AUUGAACGCUGGCGGCAUGCUUUACACAUGCAAGUCGAACGGUAACAGGCCGCAAGGUGCUGACGAGUGGCGAACGGGUGAGUAAUGCAUCGGAACGUGCCCAGUCGUGGGGGAUAACGCAGCGAAAGCUGUGCUAAUACCGCAUACGAUCUGUGGAUGAAAGCAGGGGACCGAAAGGCCUCGCGCGGUUGGAUCGGCCGAUGUCAGAUUAGGUAGUUGGUGGGGUAAAGGCUCACCAAGCCAACGAUCUGUAGCUGGUCUGAGAGGACGACCAGCCACACUGGGACUGAGACACGGCCCAGACUCCUACGGGAGGCAGCAGUGGGGAAUUUUGGACAAUGGGCGCAAGCCUGAUCCAGCAAUGCCGCGUGCAGGAAGAAGGCCUUCGGGUUGUAAACUGCUUUUGUACGGAGCGAAAAGGCUCUCUCUAAUACAGGGGGCUCAUGACGGUACCGUAAGAAUAAGCACCGGCUAACUACGUGCCAGCCGCCGCAGUAAAAC
rnacentral:rRNA from 1 species